CCUACGGGAGGCAGCAGUGAGGAAUAUUGGUCAAUGGCCGGAAGGCUGAACCAGCCAUGUCGCGUGAAGGUCAGCGCCCUUUUGGCUUGUAACUUCUUUUUUUCGGGAGCAAUAAUGGUCACCUUUUGCCAGACGAUAGUUCCGUACUAAUAAGCAUCGGCUAACUUCGUUCCAGCAGCCGCGGUAAUACGGGGGAUGCAAGCUUUUUACGGGUUUAUUGGGUUUUAAGGGUUCGUAGGCUGUGAUGUAAGUCAGCGGUAAAAUUGCGGGGCUAAACCCCGUACUGCCGUUGAAACUGGAUCCCUUGAGUGCGCGAGAAGUAUGCGGAAUGCGUGGUGUAGCGGUGAAAUGCAUAGAUAUCACGAAGAACUCCGAUUGCGAAGGCAGCAUACCGGAGCGCAACUGACGCUCAUGCACGAAAGCGUGGGUAUCGAACAGGAUUAGAUACCCCGGUAGUC
rnacentral:rRNA from 1 species